ACGUUGUCUCCACAUGCUUCGAGGUAUCAUCUUCACUUCCCUUAUAAGUAAGAGACGAAGAGGAAACACAAGAUGAUGAGUACUCGAGAGCAAGUGCUGGCUGGAGAAAGGACAGGGAGAAAGCAUGAUAUGAGAUACUCUUGCUUUCAACCCUUAUGAUAUGAAAUACUUUUGCUUUGAAUGUGUUGUUCGCAGGAGUAUCCCAAGGAAUGAGGAACACAGAGUAACUUAGGAGGGUUCUUUGGGAAUGCAUUCUCGGAGAUGAAGAAGUGCUGAGAGGGUGUGCCUUUGCUGUGGAAGGCGAAGGUAAAUACUUAUAGGACUUUUCUUCACAACCGGAACUAUUCUCUCACUCAUUGUCGGCAGCCGGUUGAUGGAUGAAUAGUACAAAUUACGCGCUUUCUGACAAAGCUGCCCGUAAUUUCCGCAAAGCAGAUUCCUCAUUGAUAUCUGGAAUCGGCGCUUCGAGCUCUGAGCAUCGUCGAUUGUAGAGGUAGCAUGUGACACAUGCGGAUAAAUCUGGAAAAGAAGAUUUGCCCGUGGGUUGAAGCCCAGCUUUUGAGAAAGCUAGCG
rnacentral:lncRNA from 1 species